GACAAAAUUAAAAAUAUUAAAAUAGCAUUCUGUCAAUUUCAAAAUUGGCAACUAAGGAAGUAAAUAUAAACAUCUGGAGAAUGGCUGGUUUUGGUUUCGCGGGACGACGAUCUUUUUAUAAAUGGAUAAACACAAUUUUCAAUAAGGUUGAUAAUCACCGUAUAAAAGAAGUAGGACCUGACCGAGCAGCUGCAGAAUGGCUUUUGAGAUGUGGUGCAUCUGUUAAAUGGAAAGACCAAAAAUGUUGGGUGUCAGAUUAUAAUUCCCUGGAAGUAAACACAAAAUUGCAGCAUGUUAUUGAAGAUAUUGAUGCUACAGAAUCAUGCAUAAUGAAUGAAGGAUUUCAUUACUUCAAUGGUCUGAAUAAUUUAAGAAAAAUCAAGUUCCGUAGAUGUAUUUAUUUGGAUGAUACCUGCAUUCAUAAGUUGACUGAGACUGAUGUUAAAAAUUCUUUGCAGCAUCUUGAAAUAAUUAGUUGUGGCAAUAUAACUGACAAUGGUGUUCUUGGUGUAACAAAAUUUAAGAAUUUAAAGAAGCUCCAUCUCUUUGAUCUACCAGAGGUGAACAGGGAAUGUCUAUGUGUUCUUAUCAAGAGUCUACCUGAUUGUGAUAUUGAUUUCCCAGAGAAGAAAUCCUCUAAUGAUGUGUGAUAAGACAAAGUCUAACUAUAAACCAUCUCUUUUUGUAUUUGAAAAGAAUUAGAAAUAAUUUUCAAGCUCUUGGUUAAAAAUGGCAUUUCUGGAAAACAACUGAAGUUUGAUUUUCGUAGAGAAUAGUGUUAAAUAUAUCGUUACAAAAAUGAUUUUGUAUGUUCACUAGUCUCAAGAUUUUUAUAUGUAUGUAUUUUGUUGCAAAAAAUAAAUUUUAUCUUUAAAAAAUAAAA
rnacentral:misc_RNA from 1 species